UUUCCUACGGGGCGCAGCAGUGGGGGAUAUUGCACAAUGGGGGGAACCCUGAUGCAGCGACGCCGCGUGGGUGAAGAAGCGCCUCGGCGCGUAAAGCCCUGUCAGCAGGGAAGAAAAUGACGGUACCUGAAGAAGAAGCCCCGGCUAACUACGUGCCAGCAGCCGCGGUAAUACGGAGGAUGCGAGCGUUAUCCGGAUUUAUUGGGUUUAAAGGGUGCGUAGGCGGUCUGUUAAGUCAGCGGUAAAAUUGCGGGGCUCAACCCCGUCGAGCCGUUGAAACUGGCAGACUUGAGUUGGCGAGAAGU
rnacentral:rRNA from 1 species